UAGUCAUAUGCUUGUCUCAAAGAUUAAGCCAUGCACGUGUAAGAUCGUCUUGAAUAGCAAUAUUUACCGGCAAUCUGUGGAAAGCUCAUUAUAACAGUUACAAACUUGGCUUUCUAGCUUAAAGUUAAAAGGAUAACACAGUCAAAUGCAGUGAUAAUACUUGAACCAAAGCUAAUGAAUUCAUAGUUAGCGAAUAAUAGCGAGUAAGGGAAAAUACGCUAUAGUAUCUUCGGAUCAAUUGACCUCUUUAGAGGCCUAGGAGAAGUAUUUCUUACUUAUCAUGCUAGUUGUUUCAGUAAGGGUGAAACAAGGCCGUCACGGGUACGGAAAAUUGGGGUUUGACACCGGAGAGGGAGCCUGAGAAAUGGCUACCACAUCUAAGGAUGGCAGCAGGCGCGAAAAUUACCCAAUCCUAACAUUUGGGAGGUAGUGACAAGAAAUAACGUCCUUCCAUUCAUGGAAGGGUACCGCAAGGUUUGGAAUGGUUCUAGUUCAAAUUUCUAUUAGAGUAACAAUU
rnacentral:rRNA from 1 species